CAAACCUCUCUUCCGUCAUCUUUUCGGACUGGGCCGUACUUUUUCAAGGGCGAAGUCCAAUAUUUAUGAAGCCCACUAGGACUACUCUCCUCCUGCGUUUCCCCUACUCUGUUCAAAUUCACCGAAAUCCUCAGCCUACAGUUCCAGCACAACCUGCAACAAUGGAGGUUUCUCGAGCCCUUUUUCUGAUGUUAACACCGGUUGCUGAUACCGUCAUCACGCGUCUUGUGCGAUUCUGGAAAGCCCGAGACGUUAACAAAAGAGGGGAACUGAUGGGAGUGGACACGCUCCUUCUUGAUGAAAAGGCGACGCUUAUCCAAGUGUACAUGGCUUAAUAUUUCCCGUCAUCUGCUGAGAGAAGGUGCAACUUACGAGAUCAGCCGGUUUGAUGUUAUAAGUAGCAACACCGAAUACAAGCAGGACCGGUCUACAACUGUUAGUGCAAGUGUUUAUAACGCACAAGCCGGCCAGCUAAAAGAAAAGUUCUUGGCAGUGGGUGUGCCGAAGGUCAUCGUCGCUACCAGCAUUAACCCCAAGUUCGUAUGAGUUACAUGGAGUCUUUCUGUGGAUGCUAAUCCUAGGACACGUUCCUACUUUGACAUCGAAACAAGAGCCAGUGAGACCUUUGUUGGCAGCAGGGACCAUGCAUCAUCUGACCCUGGAGAUGCUUGAGGCUGGGCUGCUGGGGAAGAAGCUUUAUGAAGCAAAAGUGUUGGUGAAGUCAUGGUUGAACUUUAAGGAGUUGCACGAGUUAAAGCGUGUCUGUGAUGAUGACCCUACCAUUACUCCCUCCUAUUUUUGUUGGAAAUAAGAUAAGUAUGAAUCUGGAUGGAGGAAGUUUCUAUAGAUGAUCCAGGAGUUCAGAAUGUUUGCUGAUCAUGCAUAGUUGCAUACUAACGCUAAGGUAUGUCUUCAAAUAUUGUCAAACACAUGAAGGGCUAAGCAAAUGAGAGCUUUGAGAAUUCAAAUCCAAACCGAUAAUUUGUUACGUUCACAGAUUAAAUGGAACAGACAGCUAACAUGUAUUUCUUUUAUAGUCAGUGCUUGUGUAGUGUUAUUAAUGGUUCUCUCCUGUUUGAAUGCACGUACUGGCUUUGAUUGUUUAUGUUGCCUUUGAGUUAUCUUCCCUUGAUGAGUCAUUAUUGUGCUUCAGUGUCAAUAUAUGUCGUUUGGGGAUGACUUCUACUUUUUUUUCCAUCUUUUUCAUUUCCAUUCACGUUCUUAGACCUUACUGUGUCUAAUUAAUGAACUUCUUACUGGGUAGUCUUUUCUAGACUUUAAGCUAAUGGUGUAUCUCAUGUGUAUUUGUGUUUCUGAAAUUGGGAUGUAUUCCUUUAUCGAGUUUUU